AUGAAGACCCAGGUUUUCAUAUCCCUGCUGCUUUGGGUGUCUGGUGCCUGUGCAGACAUUGUGAUGACCCAGUCUCCAUCCUCCCUGGCCAUGUCAGCAGGAGAGAAAGUCUCCAUUAGCUACAGGUCCAGUCAGAGCCUUUUAUACAGCAAAGACCAAAAGAACUAUUUGUCCUGGUACCAGCAGAAACCAGGGCAGUCCCCUAAGCUGCUGGUCUACUUGGCAUCCACUAGGUAUACUGGGAUCCCUGAUCGCUUCACAGGGAGUGGAUCUGGGACAGAUUUCACUCUCAGCAUUAGCAGUGUGCAGGAUGAAGACCUGGCAGUUUAUUACUGUAUGCAAAGUUACAGUGCUCCUCCCACAGUGCUUCAGCCUCCAACAAAAACCUUCUUAUCAGCUGCCUGCAGCCCUGGCCCUGCACACUUCCCUCUUCUGCAUGAUAGCAGGUGUCCCUGA